AGGUAAAGGCUCACCAAGGCGACGAUCAGUAGCUGGUCUGAGAGGACGACCAGCCACACUGGAACUGAGACACGGUCCAGACUCCUACGGGAGGCAGCAGUGGGGAAUUUUGGACAAUGGGCGCAAGCCUGAUCCAGCAAUGCCGCGUGAGUGAAGAAGGCCUUCGGGUUGUAAAGCUCUUUUGUCAGGGAAGAAACGGUCGUGGCUAAUAUCCAUGGUUAAUGACGGUACCUGAAGAAUAAGCACCGGCUAACUACGUGCCAGCAGCCGCGGUAAUACGUAGGGUGCAAGCGUUAAUCGGAAUUACUGGGCGUAAAGCGUGCGCAGGCGGUUUUGUAAGUCUGACGUGAAAUCCCCGGGCUUAACCUGGGAAUUGGCGUUUGAAA
rnacentral:rRNA from 1 species